rnacentral:rRNA from 1 species
UACGUAGGUGUCGAGCGUUGUCCGGAUUUAUUGGGCGUAAAGAGCCCGCAGGCGGCUUGGCAAGUUUGAGGUGAAAUCUCCCGGCUUAACUGGGAGGGGGCCUCGAAAACUGCCAGGCUUGAGGCAUGGAGAGGGAUGCGGAAUUCCCCGGUGUAGUGGUGAAAUUCGUAGAUAUUCGCAAGAACACCAGUGGCGAAGGCGGCUCACUGGCCCGAUACUGACGCUGAGGCACGAAAGCGUGGGGAGCAAACAGG